GUUAUAUGGUCAAGUGAAGAAGCGCAUACGGUGGAUGCCUUGGCAGUCAGAGGCGAUGAAAGACGUGGUAGCCUGCGAAAAGCUUCGGGGAGUCGGCAAACAGACUUUGAUCCGGAGAUCUCUGAAUGGGGGAACCCACCUAGGAUAACCUAGGUAUCUUGUACUGAAUCCAUAGGUGCAAGAGGCGAACCAGGGGAACUGAAACAUCUAAGUACCCUGAGGAAAAGAAAUCAACCGAGAUUCCCUUAGUAGUGGCGAGCGAACGGGGAUUAGCCCUUAAGCUUCAUUGAUUUUAGCGGAACGCUCUGGAAAGUGCGGCCAUAGUGGGUGAUAGCCCCGUACGCGAAAGGAUCUUUGAAGUGAAAUCGAGUAGGACGGAGCACGAGAAACUUUGUCUGAACAUGGGGGGACCAUCCUCCAAGGCUAAAUACUACUGACUGACCGAUAGUGAACCAGUACCGUGAGGGAAAGGCGAAAAGAACCCCGGAGAGGGGAGUGAAAUAGAACCUGAAACCGUAUGCGUACAAGCAGUGGGAGCCUACUUGUUAGGUGACUGCGUACCUUUUGUAUAAUGGGUCAGCGACUUAUAUUCAGUGGCAAGCUUAACCGUAUAGGGUAGGCGUAGCGAAAGCGAGUCUUAAUAGGGCGUUUAGUCGCUGGGUAUAGACCCGAAACCGGGCGAUCUAUCCAUGAGCAGGUUGAAGGUUAGGUAACACUGACUGGAGGACCGAACCCACUCCCGUUGAAAAGGUAGGGGAUGACUUGUGGAUCGGAGUGAAAGGCUAAUCAAGCUCGGAGAUAGCUGGUUCUCCUCGAAAGCUAUUUAGGUAGCGCCUCAUGUAUCACUCUGGGGGGUAGAGCACUGUUUCGGCUAGGGGGUCAUCCCGACUUACCAAACCGAUGCAAACUCCGAAUACCCAGAAGUGCCGAGCAUGGGAGACACACGGCGGGUGCUAACGUCCGUCGUGAAAAGGGAAACAACCCAGACCGCCAGCUAAGGUCCCAAAGUUGUGGUUAAGUGGUAAACGAUGUGGGAAGGCUUAGACAGCUAGGAGGUUGGCUUAGAAGCAGCCAUCCUUUAAAGAAAGCGUAAUAGCUCACUAGUCGAGUCGGCCUGCGCGGAAGAUGUAACGGGGCUCAAACCACACACCGAAGCUGCGGGUGUCACGUAAGUGACGCGGUAGAGGAGCGUUCUGUAAGCCUGUGAAGGUGAGUUGAGAAGCUUGCUGGAGGUAUCAGAAGUGCGAAUGCUGACAUGAGUAACGACAAUGGGUGUGAAAAACACCCACGCCGAAAGACCAAGGGUUCCUGCGCAACGUUAAUCGACGCAGGGUUAGUCGGUUCCUAAGGCGAGGCUGAAAAGCGUAGUCGAUGGGAAACAGGUUAAUAUUCCUGUACUUCUGGUUACUGCGAUGGAGGGACGGAGAAGGCUAGGCCAGCUUGGCGUUGGUUGUCCAAGUUUAAGGUGGUAGGCUGAAAUCUUAGGUAAAUCCGGGGUUUCAAGGCCGAGAGCUGAUGACGAGUCGUCUUUUAGAUGACGAAGUGGUUGAUGCCAUGCUUCCAAGAAAAGCUUCUAAGCUUCAGGUAACCAGGAACCGUACCCCAAACCGACACAGGUGGUCGGGUAGAGAAUACCAAGGCGCUUGAGAGAACUCGGGUGAAGGAACUAGGCAAAAUGGCACCGUAACUUCGGGAGAAGGUGCGCCGGCUAGGGUGAAGGAUUUACUCCGUAAGCUCUGGCUGGUCGAAGAUACCAGGCCGCUGCGACUGUUUAUUAAAAACACAGCACUCUGCAAACACGAAAGUGGACGUAUAGGGUGUGACGCCUGCCCGGUGCCGGAAGGUUAAUUGAUGGGGUUAGCGCAAGCGAAGCUCUUGAUCGAAGCCCCGGUAAACGGCGGCCGUAACUAUAACGGUCCUAAGGUAGCGAAAUUCCUUGUCGGGUAAGUUCCGACCUGCACGAAUGGCGUAACGAUGGCGGCGCUGUCUCCACCCGAGACUCAGUGAAAUUGAAAUCGCUGUGAAGAUGCAGUGUAUCCGCGGCUAGACGGAAAGACCCCGUGAACCUUUACUGUAGCUUUGCACUGGACUUUGAGCCUGCUUGUGUAGGAUAGGUGGGAGGCUUUGAAGCGUGGACGCCAGUUCGCGUGGAGCCAUCCUUGAAAUACCACCCUGGCAUGCUUGAGGUUCUAACUCUGGUCCGUAAUCCGGAUCGAGGACAGUGUAUGGUGGGCAGUUUGACUGGGGCGGUCUCCUCCUAAAGAGUAACGGAGGAGUACGAAGGUGCGCUCAGACCGGUCGGAAAUCGGUCGUAGAGUAUAAAGGCAAAAGCGCGCUUGACUGCGAGACAGACACGUCGAGCAGGUACGAAAGUAGGUCUUAGUGAUCCGGUGGUUCUGUAUGGAAGGGCCAUCGCUCAACGGAUAAAAGGUACUCCGGGGAUAACAGGCUGAUACCGCCCAAGAGUUCAUAUCGACGGCGGUGUUUGGCACCUCGAUGUCGGCUCAUCACAUCCUGGGGCUGAAGCCGGUCCCAAGGGUAUGGCUGUUCGCCAUUUAAAGUGGUACGCGAGCUGGGUUUAGAACGUCGUGAGACAGUUCGGUCCCUAUCUGCCGUGGACGUUUGAGAUUUGAGAGGGGCUGCUCCUAGUACGAGAGGACCGGAGUGGACGAACCUCUGGUGUUCCGGUUGUCACGCCAGUGGCAUUGCCGGGUAGCUAUGUUCGGAAAAGAUAACCGCUGAAAGCAUCUAAGCGGGAAACUUGCCUCAAGAUGAGAUCUCACUGGGAACUUGAUUCCCCUGAAGGGCCGUCGAAGACUACGACGUUGAUAGGCUGGGUGUGUAAGCGUUGUGAGGCGUUGAGCUAACCAGUACUAAUUGCCCGUGAGGCUUGACCAUAUAACACCCAAACA
rnacentral:rRNA from 1 species